rnacentral:miRNA from 1 species
UCUGAGGAUUUUUUUUGUGGUC